UACGUAGGGUGCGAGCGUUAAUCGGAAUUACUGGGCGUAAAGCGUGCGCAGGCGGUUUUGUAAGCCAGAUGUGAAAUCCCCGGGCUUAACCUGGGAAUGGCAUUUGGGACUGCAAGGCUGGAGUGUGGCAGAGGAGACUGGAAUUCCUGGUGUAGCAGUGAAAUGCGUAGAUAUCUGGAGGAACACCGGUGGCGAAGGCGGCAUCCUGGACCGGCAUUGACGCUGAUGAGCGAAAGCCAGGGGAGCAAACGGG
rnacentral:rRNA from 1 species